ACGGUGGACGCACUCAUCAUGGGGACGCUCGGAGCCUGGGACCGCAGCAAUGAGAGCGUCCUCCGUGCCUGCCGCGUCUCCCGCCGCUACGCCAAGCUGAUGCGCUGCCUCAUGGUGUCCGACACCAUCCGCCGGUCCUGCGACAUCUACAUGGAGCACAUCACGGGCCACCGCCAGUAUACCGACCCCUCCAGACAAGCCACCGCCAAACCGGACCCGGAGGGCACCGCCACCUGAACUGCCUCCCUGCUUCGCUUCGCGUCGAGGAUUUCUCCGCCACGGACGAUCCUGCGCCACCUGAAGAGGACCCCCGCGAUCAGACUUUAUGGACUGAGACGCUUUGUCUGAGCCACUUCCUCCAACAUUGCGGACCACUGUAACAGGUUUGUGUGUAUCUAUCUCCUUUCCCUCUCAGCGUUGCAAACUCCCCCUCCCCUUCCGCCUUCCCACAUCCCCCCACCCCCGGGGCUUAGUUGGCUAACAUUGUAUCGCUUGUACCUUGUGGCAUUCUCCUCCCCCCUCGAUUUAGUCCCUCGCUCGGGCGCUUUGUAUUUCCAUCUCAGCUUUGUCAUCUUUUUUCUGGAUUCCCCAUCCGAAACACCUACUAAUAAAAGUCAAUCUUUUAUUAGACCAACUAGACAGUUGGAAAAAUUGUUCUUUGCAAGCCUGCGGACACACGCACCCACCCCCCGCAUCGACAACCGCGACCCCACAGCCACACGCAGGCAGAGGCGCUGCCCCCGCCCUGUCGCAGCUGCGCGCGGGGAUCGCUCCCUCUGCCGGGCAGCCUCGGCCCCGCGCGCACGAUCCGCUGGGUCGGCAGCUCGGGGCAGCCGUCUCUUCCCUUGUUUGCCUGAUCUUGGCUCUGGAAGGAAGCAUCUACACUCGGGUCGACGAGGUCCCUCCUGCAACGCGCUGCGACGCCGAGGAUGCAGAAGCAAAGCUCCGGCCCGCGCAGGAGGUGCUGAACAGCCUCCCCCGGCCCGCGGGGUCCUCGGGACAAUCGGACUCACCGAGUUCAACCCCUCCCGGGCGCAGCGACUGGCUGCGGCUCUGCCCGCGCGGCUGAGGCUUCCCGCAGCACUUCGAGAGCUUCAUCUUCCAGCGGAGUUUCACUGA
rnacentral:lncRNA from 1 species